UACGGGGGGGGCAAGCGUUGUUCGGAAUUACUGGGCGUAAAGGGCUCGUAGGCGGCCAACUAAGUCAGACGUGAAAUCCCCCGGCUUAACCGGGGAACUGCGUCUGAUACUGGAUGGCUCGAGUUUGGGAGAGGGAUGCGGAAUUCCAGGUGUAGCGGUGAAAUGCGUAGAUAUCUGGAGGAACACCGGUGGCGAAGGCGGCAUCCUGGGCCAGUACUGACGCUGAGGAGCGAAAGCGUGGGGAGCAAACAGG
rnacentral:rRNA from 1 species